UGGCGCGGCCUUUGUCUCACUUCAGCCAGAGAGCGGGGUUAGGGCUUCAUUGCCUUGUGUCCUCUGCUCCGGGAGACUUCGGUGAUUCUGCCACUCCCUCCGUCGCUCUGUGACCUGCUGGCAUUGAAUGAUUUAUAGCUAAGACUCCAGGACACCCCUGAAGCCGAGAAAUGAAAUCCCAAGUUGACCGUCAAGUCCAACGCUCGCUGCAGACAUCUAGUGGACCCGGCGCUCGCGGACGGAAGCGGACAGACCUAGUUGGAUCCUUAUCCCACCAAUCUGGCCCACCUUUGCUGCCAUCUAACUCCGCUGACCGGCCCACCGUUCCUCCACUGUUCGCUGGUUGACCCGGGCAGCGGAGAGAGGAGAUCUUCAAAAGUGAAGUGGAGACAUGAGAGAUAUAAAGAGAGAUACAAACAAUAAACAGCAAACAUAAGUACAGAGGACAGUAUAGAUAAUAACUCCUACGAGAACAACAAAAAAUUCCAG
rnacentral:lncRNA from 10 species